rnacentral:misc_RNA from 1 species
CCCAAGGUGCAUUUCGUCGUUGGUAUAGAUGUCUACGCAAGAGCUCAUUAAUACAUGCAUGUUGCGAUUCCAUGCCCCUACACCUACCAACAAAAGUUUCGCAUCUGCUUCCAUGUCAGAACCGACUCAGAGUCUGGGAAACAUCCAAACAAGACCAAUCGUUUCCGUCCCAACCGGCGUAAAUGCCAGACCCGUGCGAGUACCAGCUACUUCACCUUACCUAGCCUGCCUUGGAUGUUGAAUAUCUUGGGAUGGUUUUACGCUCUCGUCGGAGGCACAGCAUUUAUUCCCCACUUAGUACCAUUCGAAUACUUCGGACCAGGUGGGACGUGUAUGAGGCUGAUGCACACUUACUUCCCGAACUUUGCCAUCUCUGUGUUUGUGCCUGGGACUUUCGCGCACUUUCUUGAAGCACUGUACAGCUGGCGUCUGUGUGGAUCGAUUGGCAUCAAAGGCGGAGCCAAGAUUAAAUGGUUCCUGUCGACCACCAUAUUUGGAGGAGCAUCUUUGUAUGAGCUGGUCACAUUCCAGUCUCAACCAGACGUGCACGCGGAUUGAUAUGGGAGUCACUGGAGACAGUCGUAGCCGCACGAAAACAAAAUAGUUCCUGCAGUUUCAUCUUUAAAAAUUGUGAUCUCUAAGAGAUGAAAAUUUUGACGAAUCCUAAGGGGCCAACGAGUGCUGUCCUCUUAGAAAAAAGGAGAGAUUUAAACAGAUUUGAGCCGACGUUUGCAGAUCAAUGAAUUCACUUUGUAGAAAAUGUGAGCUCGAUAACAGGUCAAGUGAUAUUCAUGGUUGAAAUUGCUAAUGCGUGUAUUUGAAACAGCCUAUAUGAUCAACGGGAGUUGUUCGCAUUAUUGCCAACAGUACAACAUACUGUGCACCCAUGUAGAAUUGCAUUAACGUUUGAUACUACUUUUUAUCUUUGUUAACUGUGACUCUUUCUCUCACACGGUUCAGAUAAGGUUAAAAAAAUUAACUUGACCUUUGUUCUCUGUGUUUGGUUCUAUUCAGUCGGUAUAGUCAUAGCCGUUGCUCUAGUCAACUCUUACCCAGCCUGAAAUAAGUCUAGCUUGAUAACCGUUGCUAUGGUUCGUACGCUUUUUGAAACUAUUUCGUUGAGGUGUCUCUUCAUUCAGUCGUUUCUUCAUUUUCCCGCCAAGAUGCAAAAUUGGAACGCUAAUUAUUUCACUCUGCCUAGCCUGCCAUGGAUAAUCAACAUCAUUGCUUGGUUUUAUAUCGGCGUUACAGCACAGUCUUCAUCCCUCAUCUGGUGCCUUACCACUUGUUUGCUCCAGCAGGAACCUGGAUUAGACUAACCUACACCUAUUGCCCCUUCUUCGGGAAAUUUGCCUUGGUUGGUGGCACACUUGCACAUCUGGGGGAAGCAAUUUACGGAUGGCAUUUGUGCAGGAAGAAGGGUAUAGUGGGACGCGCUCAAGUCAAAUGGUUCGUGUCUAUCGCCAUCCUCGGAGGACCGUCUUUGUGCGAACUGAUCAUCUUUAAACCGCAUCUCGACAUGGACGCGAACUAACUCGUUCGGAAAAAAAUCCUGGAUGCUCUAAAAACUUUCUAAUGAAGGAUUUUUGAUUUUCAGUUCUAGUCCUCUUAACCUGUCGCUCUAUUUCAUGAAAGUAACGUAGGAUGAGUUUUGCUUUGCCAUAUAAUGGGGAAAUGAUAGAUGCAUGUGACUAUAAUAACAGGACCUUAACACCACCUCUUGCAAAGAUCUUUUCUCUGUGCUUAAAAAGGUUUAAUCAGUAGUGAAGUCGCACCCAGGGAAGAUGUCAGUUUGAAAAGCGAGAAUUUUUUUUAAAAGAAAAGACUGCGUUUCGUUUGUGCAGAGCACUUCAUAUGGAUUCAUGUUUCAUAAGGAGAAAAAAUACACCCGGGGAUUUAAUUUCUGCUUUGAGAUCACAAGCAAGGUUAAUGAACUUAGGUCAUCGUGUCAGAGCAAGAAAAGAAAAACUCUGCAAUUUCUCCGUGAUAAUUUGAUUGCGAACGAAUGAAAUCUGGUGAAAUGAUGUAUUUCAAGCUUUUUGUAAUUUGUCUCCCUUUUUCAGUGCUUCAGAAUGCAUUUUGCUUGUCUGUGAGUUGGAGAAAUGCCUUAAAAUUCGUGUUUUUCUUCUUACCACGAAAAAAAGUGCGAGUGUGGCAUGAUUGGCCCACCCCUCUGGUCAAAAAGUGUGCGGGUGGGUGUGUGUGUGAAGGGGGGAGGAGAUAUGUCUUGGGAUUUAGGCGCCUGCAUUUUAUUACUGAUAACAUUUACAUAUUCCAUAAUGGCUCUUUGAUGAUCAUCUCUGGACAAGAGAGUUUUCUGUUGCAACAGAAAAAACUUUUUUCCAGAUGAGACCACAGUGACCUUGCUCGUGUCAAUGUCACAAGAAGGAAUAUGUUUCACAGCCUUUUUAAUAAGUAAGCAGACCAUUUAAUAAAAUUAGGAUAGAUGUUUAAAACAAAGCUGUUGGCUUUUUUUGUUGAAAUGCUGGCAGCGUUUAGCUGACAAGGCAUGAAAUGCAGCUUUGACAAAAUAAUGAGCGUACGAAAAAUUUGACUGAAGAAAUCUUUGAGGAUUUAAUGUUUGCAUACCUUCAAACUGCGCGGAGAUAUAACAAAUGUACAAAGAACUCCAUACAAUGGCUCCGUUUGUUAGAUUAUACCGAAACAAACCGGCUGUUGAAAGGUUAUCAGAGGGAACUGGGAACAAUAGUCAUAUCUGCAAUACGUGGUGACGGUUUAACCGAAGGCAUAUCGGCAAUUGGUGGGAACGAACAUGAGUACACAAAAUGACCACAUGAUCUUGAUAUACCGGAUGUGAUCGACGAUACACCACCACAUCACGGUGGCGGAACACCGCACUGGCUGAUCACACCCGCAGCUGUAGACGAGUUGAACCAGACGGUUUCAGCAAAAAUUCAACUACAAACAGAAUUACAUCCACAGAGCUAACAAAAUGCAGUUUCGUAAUCGGAGCUAUUUUCGGCUACCCAGCAUACCUUGGAUGGUGAUUGUCUUUUCUUCUUUCGGCA